rnacentral:rRNA from 1 species
AGAGUUUGAUCCUGGCUCAGAACGAACGCNGGCGGCAUGCCUAACACAUGCAAGUCGAACGAGACCUUCGGGUCUAGUGGCGCACGGGUGCGUAACGCGUGGGAAUCUACCCUUGGGUUCGGAAUAACAGUUAGAAAUGACUGCUAAUACCGGAUGAUGACUUCGGUCCAAAGAUUUAUCGCCAAAGGAUGAGCCCGCGUAAGAUUAGCUAGUUGGUGAGGUAAAGGCUCACCAAGGCUACGAUCUUUAGCUGGUCUGAGAGGAUGAUCAGCCACACUGGGACUGAGACACGGCCCAGACUCCUACGGGAGGCAGCAGUGGGGAAUAUUGGACAAUGGGCGAAAGCCUGAUCCAGCAAUGCCGCGUGAGUGACGAAGGCCUUAGGGUUGUAAAGCUCUUUUACCCGGGAUGAUAAUGACAGUACCGGGAGAAUAAGCUCCGGCUAACUCCGUGCCAGCAGCCGCGGUAAUACGGAGGGAGCUAGCGUUGUUCGGAAUUACUGGGCGUAAAGCGCACGUAGGCGGCUUUGUAAGUUAGAGGUGAAAGCCCGGGGCUCAACUCCGGAACUGCCUUUAAGACUGCAUCGCUUGAAUCCAGGAGAGGUGAGUGGAAUUCCGAGUGUAGAGGUGAAAUUCGUAGAUAUUCGGAAGAACACCAGUGGCGAAGGCNGCUCACUGGACUGGUAUUGACGC